rnacentral:rRNA from 1 species
AUUGAACGCUGGCGGCAGGCCUAACACAUGCAAGUCGAGCGAGCGGCGGACGGGUGAGUAAUGCCUAGGAAACUGCCUGAUGGAGGGGGAUAACUACUGGAAACGGUAGCUAAUACCGCAUACCAUCAGAUGUGCCCAUAUGGGAUUAGCUAGUAGGUGGGGUAACGGCUCACCUAGCCGAAGUUCCCUAGCUGGUCUGAGAGGAUGACCAGCCAAACUGGAACUGAGACACGGUCCAGACUCCUACGGGAGGCAGCAGUGGGGAAUAUUGCACAAUGGGCGCAAGCCUGAAGCAGCCAUGCCGCGUGUAUGAAGAAGGCCUUCGGGUUGUAAAGUACUUUCAGCGGGGAGGCGUUACCCGCAGAAGAAGCACCGGCUAACUCCGUGCCAGCAGCCGCGGUAAUAC